GCGAACGUGCACAAGCGCGUUAUUUCCAACGCGCUUGUACAGAGCAGAGAUGAGUGAGGGAGCGCCGGGGUGUGCGGUGGUGGUGGUGGUGAUGGUGGAGGCGGAGGUGGUUGGAACCGCGGGAGGCGAGAGGGAUACAGACAGGGGAUGAGACACACACGGAGAGAGUUAUGACGCCGCACAAUUAGCAGUUCGUGUGAGAGAGAUCGAUCGCCGCCGAGAACAUACAUCAACGAUGUAAACUCAGAACGCGUAUCGUCUCUACGUGUACAAUCCCGCGGAUCCCGCGUAACGCGGGUAUACGCGCAAAUGCCGGUGGGCUGUUUCGCUAUUUUCGUCGAUUUAACCCGCCUCGCCGCGCCGCGCCGCUCUGCCGGGGAAUAAUGCAUUUUCGUUUUAGUUUAAAUUGCAGCCGACGGGAGCGCGGCACGAAAAUUGGACGUUUGUUUAGCACGCGUCGCGUCGACCAGGUCGGCCUGCGCCAGACGAGAGACGCCGUAGUGUUUUGUCAAUAGCGGGAGAUUUAGUUUUGGAUAACGUCCCGUGUGUGCGUUGCGCCUCGGCGCGACGCGACGCGACGCGACGCGACGCUCACGCCGGCGGGGGUGCACCACCGACGCUCGCGCCGAUUCGUCAUGUUAUCGCUACUUCCGUUUAUGCUUCAUUAAUUUUAAUUAAUUUCAGUGUCGUUCGUUACCGCCGCUUGCACUCUCCGAGCGUGAUUAAUUAAAGUCGGGGUAUUAUCAAUGUUUUUAAUUAAUCCGUUGUAAAUUGACUUUGUAAAUUAUGUUUGGGACCCGCGAGCCGUUAUCGGGAUCUGAAGUUAUGAUUCGCUAUUCAGCCCCGUUAGGAAACCGAUAUUUUCCGUUUGUGUCACACGCCGCCGUUAAGCCGAAUAUUUACUUUUAAAAGAUUUCACCUGCACAAGUGGUAGUUGACUUGAAAGCCAGUUUUAUAAACGGUAUAUAGCUUUCCCGCUAUUUACCGUUUACUUUUACAACUGUUUGCUGAUAUUAUUACACGAGAUGGAGAGAGUGGGACGGGCUAACUUUGAUGCGUCUCGCAGCACCUCCGCCACGGAUAGAUCAGAAGGACCGCCUGCGACUGCCUGAUUUACUAUGGUGGACCGUACGUUCCUAGGGAUCAGGUCUACCCUGCCUGCGGGGAGUCAAACAUGCAGCGAAGAGGGGAUGACAAACGACAUCAUCGGCUGGCAUGGCGCUACGAUGGCGAAAUCCAUAACUGUCAUCACUUCUAAACUAGAUCUGGGCGAAUUCAGAUUGCCUCCCCGUUUCGCGUCGACAGCGUAAGAACAGGUAAGAAUUGGUCGGCCAAAAGGGUAAUGGGACGCGACUGUCUGUGCACUCGAAAGAGUGAGGAGGGUAUAGUCAAGUGCGACCGCAAGGCCACAACCGCAGUGUGGGAAGUGAAACGAGCCGAGUGGCGUAGCUUUUAAUGGAGUGAGGGAAACAACAUUAAGUUAAGAGCAAAGCAGGGUGUGAGAAUUACACAGAAAUAACUGUAGCUGCCAGUAGAAACGGCGCGAAAGGGAGUGGAGAAUACGAUUCAUAAACCAGCAAUUACCCUGUUGCCCAUCCACAAAACAGCGUGCGAUCUUCAAGAUGUCGCGCGAUUAUAUAUUCUCCAAGUGUAGAAGCCAACAAUUCCAGAUACAAAACAUCACAUCGUACGAUAUUUCACUUUGCGAUUAUUUUAACCGAUGAAACGGAAUACACGGUAUGAAAUUUAAACGCUGUGAUAUAUAUUUUGUAAAACGUUCACAUCUGUAAAAAAAUUUUACAAACGAUUUCAUUCACAUUAAUCACGGUAAAGUUUAAAAACUGCAAAUAUACUAUUUUUAAGCUAUGAAAGAAUCUAAAAACGCAACCAGGUUUUGUAUUUUUAUCAGAUUAUAUUUAUAAAUUAUAUAUAUUAUAGAUAACUUUAUGGAUUCUUUUCCAAGAUUUAUGUUCAAAAUUAAAAUUAUUUGUUGAAAUUAUUGUUAUCUUUUCUAAAAUAACAAAAUGUUUUAUUUUAUUUAUAGAAAUCAUUGCGUAACUAAUAAUAAACGGAACUUCUGAAGUAUUGAUAGAAUAAGGGUUAGGAAGUUCUCGAUGUAUUACGUGGGGGAUGCAAUUUAUCGAAUGAUAAAUUUCAAGGAGAUAGGAUCGCGCGCGGUUAGAUUAAACGACGAUUCCUUCUCUUCUCUUCUUCUCGUUUCCACCUAUUCCAUCCACUGACUCCCCAAAGUAGUGAAAUUAAAUAUAGGAGUCGAAUUGCAGUCUACGGUGAUAUAAGUUUCUCUUAGUCCUUAAUUUCUUUUUCUUCUCCUUUCUCCUUUUUGUCUUCUUUUUUCGACAUAAGAGAGUGUUUUUGCUAUAUUUCUAUCUUUUACUCUAGCCAUCUUUCCAUAUCCUUAUCUGUAACCGCAGACUUUUCUCUCCAUCUUGACAAACACCCGCCCUCUUGUAUCUGAAAGCUACUAAGCUGGCAUCCCUCCGAUUUAGAUACUGCUAUAGCUUACCAACCACUAUCAUGUGAAAGGGACGCGCAAAAUGAGUUUUGGUCCUAAAGCAUCGAUAUGCUUUUUUCAAGCUUACGAAAACUUGUAAAAAAUAUUAAAGUUUAUACCUUAGAUAUAUCAAAUAAUGUUAUUGAAUAUUCAAAUUUCCAAGUAUAAGAUCUAAAAAAUAGAGAUACUUAUAAAUUUAAAUGUUUCUUAUAUAUUCUUUCUGUUAAAAUAGAAAUCAUUAACGACCUAUUAUGUCUAUAAUAUAGUAAGUCUCAAUAGGUGUAGUAAAUCUUAACCUACAAGAAAUUGACCAAUUGCAAUAGAAUGUGAAACGAAUAAUCGACUAUGAUUGGUCAAUUUCUUACGGUUUAUGAUUUGCUACACCUAUUGUAGGCGGCCCCUUAGAAUUGCACGCUUACUCAAAAUAGACACAAAUAGAUUGCCAAGGAACAGUUAAAUAGAGGUCUUCUUCAAAUUUGCCGGCUUUACAUCAGCUUACGGUUAUAUUUUUUCUCGGUGAUGCGACUUAGUUUCUUUACGAGCCGAGCAUACUUCGGGAAUCCGCGAAGGUGAUGGGACAGAUAAGACUAAUUCCGGGUAUUUCGCACCCCGCCGCGAUACGUUGAAGCGCCGACCAUGCCUCGGCAGAGACAAACCCCUUGCUACAGCAGCCCCUAUCGAGGGAGUAAAGGGCGGUGGUAGAGGGCGGACGAGUGUGUGGGUGAGUGGAGAGCAGGGCAGAGCAGCAGCGUGCUGCCCGCACCAGGCGCCCCUUCGCAUAUUUCACCGGGAAUUUACGAGCCUCGAUACGACAGGGAAAUUGCAAGAAUGGCGGAGUAAUCUAUCUCUCCUUGCCUCUAUGGGCUCUCUCUUCUUUUCCCAGGUUCCCUUUCCCGAGCGCCCUUCUUCUCUCACACACACACACACACACACACACAUAUGCAGACACAUAGAUACUUAUAUGCGCACUCAAACUCGUUUCGAGAAAGAAGGAAACUCGUAGUUUUUCCAUAUAGAUAAAAAGGAUUUGUCCUUUCGUUUCAAGUCGCCGUUAUCUCUUAAUUGUGUUAUUGUGAUAAGAAACCAAUCUGUUAGGUGCUACUGUGAAUUCUUAAUAAAUUACGUUUCCCUCUUAUUCGUGUAUUACGCGCGCGCGCGCGAGAAA
rnacentral:lncRNA from 1 species